AUGCUACAUGAUGUUAAGCACAAAGCAGACAUUUCACGACUGCAGUCCAGAAUCCCAUAUUACAACUUCCCUGGAACUCCUACAGAAGACCAGUUCAAGCAUCAGCUUACAUGGAAGAGAGCCAGUCAUCUGUUUCUCAAGGUUCCAUCAACUCCUGCCUCAUUCUUGAAUAUUUUUUCUAUUCUGUUAAGAGAGAGCAUCCUGAGAGUCCAGCAAUAUAAUUUCCUGAACUAUCUUUACUCCAUGCCCUCAGGUAAAGAGAAUAAGCAACCCUAAUGGCUACUUAACUGUUCUGCCAGCACUGGGGAGAGCUCAUUGAGUGGCUUACCCUUUGCAUCUCCUUUCUGGGGUCUUACAAUAUGGUCUUUAAACUACAGUUUGCAGGUAUGCCAUGUCUUCUAUGUGCCCUUGACAUGUACAUUGAUCAUUUUUGAACUAUCACAAGAAUGGAAAAUAGGAUACCCAGUGCAUGCAAAACGUGUGCUCAUCAACUGCUCCUUCACAGCCUGCCACCUUUUGCAAGAGCUGUAGAUAACAAGCAUUGUGCCCUUGCACCAGCUCAAACAGGAAGCAUGAGCUGGAAGGAAUGUGACCUUCUAUAUGCUGAAACAACUCUUGCAGAAACAAGUCACUAUUGACUUUGCAGCAUUGAAGGGCAUCUGUAGGAGCUACUCUGUAUCCAAAUCUCUUUUUCACAGAGGUUCAUGGAAAAUGCUGUUCUUUUUUGUCAGCCCCAGGUCUGAAGAACCUGUGACAAGAGCUCCCCAAAUACAUGAGAUUUUUCUUUCUUGGCCAAACCCGAAAAAUUGGGAGAAGAAAACAAAUCUGGACCCAACAUGAAACAUAUUGUCUCGAUUUGUGUGGGGUUCUUUUUACCCUUUGUCUUUAUUAAAUAGGACACAUUUCUGCUAGAAACGAGAAACACAAACACUUCAUUUCAAAGGUGUCAACAUAGAUAACAUUUUGACUUUUUUUUUCCAAACUGUUUACAUUAUUUUUAGGGAUGUGGCUUUUGCAAAAUGUGGCUCUAAUGAGUUAAUAGGUUUGCUCAACUUGCAACUGCACUAUAUGGUGGUUUGAAUUAUUUAUUUGAAAAAUGUAGUCCAGCUUUACCUGUAACUUGCUGUGAUUUUACUUCCAUAGCCAUGACUAUAGCAGCCGGUGGAUCUAAAUUCACUGUGGGCGAAAUUCUGUGCUUCAUAUAGGAUCCCCACAGCAUCUUCUGCAUCACCUCAGUGUAUAGGUCUUACCAAGCUAGUGCUUGCCCACUGCACCAGCUUGAAUUAGAUCCUUUAAGCAAUCCUCCCUUUUAUAUUACAUUAUCUCUGGGUCAUUAAUCACUACAGGACUGUGCUUUUGUAGGCGAUCACUAAAGUGCUGCCAACUCUUGGCUAAUGAGUCAUGCAUUUGGUGAUCUCAAAGCUCCAGCUCCUGGAGUCCUGCGAUUAUCUGAGAAUCUGGGCUUUCCUUAAAAUAAGCCUUGCUAGAUGCAGAGAAAAUAUAGACUCUAAGGCAAAACUACAAGAAAAAAAAAUCAUAAGAAUUUAAAUGCAUUUAAUCUCAUGAUUUUUAAUAUUACAGUUUUGGGGAGGGCCUGACUCCUGAUUUUAAAGCCCUGACUUAAUAGUAAUGCUAUAAGAGGGUGAUUGAAUAGUGAGAGAAAACGGUGCCUUUGUCUCAUUUCCUCCUUCUUUCCUGCCUCUUCCCCUUUCCUCUUUGUCUCUGGUUUCUUUUUCAUUUCUCUACAUGCUUUUAAAUUCAGAGAUGUGACUGGAGUAGUGUGUUGUUCAUCAGUCAUAUGGGAUUGGCAUACUGGGGAUUUUCCAGCAUUACAAAACAUUUUCCUUGCAUUUGCCAAAGCUAAUAACAGCCACUGAACAUGUGCCACUGGAAAAUCACAGACAGGACCACUGCCAAGUAUUCAGAGCUCUUCUGAAAGGGGAGUGUCAGGGUCUUAUCAGUGUGAAAGGACAUAGCAUAGUCGGUGCCAGCAAGACAGAACUUUGGGCAGGUCUCUAGCAUGUGACACAGUAGAUAAUUAGAUUUCCAUCUAGAGACCUGGGCACCAGCCAAAAUCACUCUGUCUCCAGUGCAAGCAGUUGGACUUCACAUUUAAAUGAGCAUUGUGCAUUCUCUGCCCACUUGCCAUCAGAAGAGCAAGUUUAUUUUUACUUGGACGGCUUAAGUGGAAAGAGUGGGCAGCCAGAAAAAAACAAAACAAAACAAAAAACAAUCCCUGUUCAUGGUUUGCUGAUAUUGUCAGAUUUCAAUGGUGAAGAAACCCAGGUGGAGAGCUGUUUGCACCUUUCAAGUCCUGAGGCCCAAUGUACUAAGCCAUUAAACACUCCUUACACUGAGAAGAUGGGAACUGCCAGUAAAGGAAUAAAGAGAAAUGUGGACAAGAGGUAGCUUGCA
rnacentral:lncRNA from 1 species